rnacentral:rRNA from 2 species
UUUUUGCAGGCACAGAUAGGAAUCUUCCACAAUGGACGAAAGUCUGAUGGAGCAACGCCGCGUGAGUGAUGAAGGUUUUCGGAUCGUAAAACUCUGUUGUUAAAGAAGAACAAGUGUUAGAGUAACUGUUAACACUUUGACGGUAUUUAACCAGAAAGCCACGGCUAACUACGUGCCAGCAGCCGCGGUAAUACGUAGGUGGCAAGCGUUGUCCGGAUUUAUUGGGCGUAAAGCGAGCGCAGGCGGUUUUGUAAGUCUGCUGUGAAAGCCCUCAGCUCAACUGAGGAAGUGCAGUGGAAACUACAAAACUUGAGUACAGAAGAGGAAAGUGGAACUCCAUGUGUAGCGGUGAAAUGCGUAGAUAUAUGGAAGAACACCAGUGGCGAAGGCGGCUUUCUGGUCUGUUACUGACGCUGAGGCUCGAAAGCAUGGGUAGCGAACAGGAUUAGAUACCCUGGUAGUCCAUGCCGUAAACGAUGAAUACUAGGUGUUGGAGGGUUUCCGCCCUUCAGUGCCGCAGCUAACGCAUUAAGUAUUCCGCCUGGGGAGUACGACCGCAAGGUUGAAACUCAAAGGAAUUGACGGGGGCCCGCACAAGUGGUGGAGCAUGUGGUUUAAUUCGAUGCUACGCGAAGAACCUUACCAGCUCUUGACAUCUUCUGCCAACCCAAGAGAUUGGGCGUUCCCUUCGGGGACAGAAUGACAGGUGGUGCAUGGUGUCGUCAAGCUUCGGGA